GAUCAUUAGAGAAAAUAUGAGCGGUCUCGUGGAGAGCCUGCUGGGGGGAGCCACUGUGGGGGAGCGCACACGCCAGCCAGCGCUUAGUUGCGCGGCGGCUGUGGGUGCUCUGCCGGGCGCCCUCUGCGAAGGCGGCUCUGCACAGAGAACAACAUACACACAGUGGAGACACGUAUGCACGUUUUUCUGGGUGCAUUGGUGCUUUGGGCUGGCGACGGCCCAGAGUGCGGCACGCAAAACACAAACAAAAAUGCAGUUGCAAGAAACAGUCAGCAAAAGUAUAAAAAACAUAUACACAAAUAUUCAAAACUUUCAACAACGGAUCUCUUGGUUCUCGCAUCGAUGAAGAACGCAGCGAAAUGCGAUACGUAGUGUGAAUUGCAGAAUUCCGUGAAUCAUCGAAUCUUUGAACGCACAUUGCGCCCCUUGGUAUUCCAGGGGGCAUGCCUGUUUGAGCGUCAUUUCCUUCUCAAACAGCGAUGUUUGGUUGUGAGUGAUACUCGGAAGAGUUAGCUUGAAAAUGCUGGCCGGUGGCUGCAGUGGCCAGGGCUUCUUUUUUCCUGCAUCCUGCCUCGGCGGGGUGGGCUCUGCCGGACGUCUUCGUAGUAGGUUCUGCCAAUUCGGGGACAGCUGGCGGGAGCUGCAAGGAGGGGAGGCCUGUGUUUUGGCUGCAGACAGAGACAGCCGUGGCGAACAGUGUCU
rnacentral:misc_RNA from 1 species